CUGGUUAGCCACCUUGCCACUCCUCUCACCGAGACAAGAUAAGCCCUGUUUUCAAACACCCAAAGCAGAGCUUUUUUUUUUCUUCUGCCUACCAUCAUUACAUCGCAAAGCCCUUCCGCCACUUCCAGUCGCGCCGCCGUUGAGUUGUGUUAUGAUCCAGGAAAUUAGUGAAAAAUUUUGAAAAACCUAGUUUCUGGCAAUUCGAGUUUGCCAAGGCCUCCUUUAGUCAAUUUGUAAAAUAAUUCGUCUGAUGUUUCAUUCAUUCUCCAUGCAAACAUUUAUAUAGACUAAAGAUAUUAACUGCAAUGAAAAUACAGGCCCACUAACAAACACAACAACUGACUGACCCAUGUUAAAUACUCACUAACCCACGACUUGCUAACCGAUGGCCCACUACCAGGCAACUGACCCACGAAAUUAACACACACUCAAACAUAAUAAUUGAAUUCAAAUGACACCGUUUUACAACUAAAAUAACUUAAAGACCAACACAAUGGGUUUCUUGGGUAAGAACCCUAAAUCAUAACAUCACCCCCUCCUUCGAAAGCCUUGUCCCCAAGGCUAGGGUAUCGCCUUUUCAGUUACUCCAAAUCCUCCCACGUUGCGUCCUCAUCUCCAGUAUCAGCCCACUGCUCCAGAACCUCCAUCGUUGCUCUAUUUCCCUUCUUCUUCAAUCUUUGUUGCAAGAUUCGUUGUGGUUUUGAAGCUAAAGCCCCUUCGAAUUUCACACGUGGUAGCUCGACACAAGCUUGAAUACCGUUUCCAAGCUUCUUCUUGAGACAAGAAGCGUGGAAAAUAGGAUAAAUCCUUGCUUCUUGCAGAAGAUCAAGCUCAUAGGCUACUUUCCUGAUUCGGCACAAAACCCUAAAGGGGCCGUAAUAUCUUGGGGCGAUCUUGAGAUUUCUUCGCAAGGCUACACUCAUCUGUCGAUAUGGAUGCAAUCUCUAGUUCUCCUUUAUGAGGGUUGAAAUAAACUCUCAGGUUCUGAGUUCAUUUUCCACUACUUGAACAAUAGAGGACUCGUGCUCAAAGGGCAACAAUCGAGGCGGGCUCUGUCCAUACACGGCUUCAAAAGGAGAUACCUUUGUGGAAGUGUGUACCGAGGUAUUAUAGGAAUACUCGGCUAAAGGUAUGGGUAAUGGUUAGAGCAACCCCGCUAGGUGGAGGGCUUCAACCUUGCUUCUUUGGCACACGUCACACUCCCUGACAUGUCUCCUUGCAUCAAUUUUCAGACCAGGCUAGUAGAAUUCCUUUUUAAUUCUUACUUGUGUCUUGUGAACUCCCAUGUGAUCCCCUAAUGGGUUACUAUGGAGCUGGUGCAGGAUUUGUUGCUAAAAGGCCACCAAAGAUCCAAGAUGCAGUCUCCUUUUUGUUAAAAAGGAGAUUACCUCACAUUUGGUAAAUUGAUGGGUUCAGGUCUCCAUGAUGGUUGUGACUAAUGAGCUGCUGCAACAUAGGGUCCUGUGGGUAAGUUCUCUUUAAUUCUUCUACCCAUUGAGCUUGCACCACACUGAUUGCUUGGUUUUGUAUGGGUUGAUUAAUGGAGAUUGGGAUAUUAGUUUUGGUUUAUGGUUGGUCAUGGGGGCUAUUUGGUUUGGUGGUUUGGAUCAUGUUUGUGGGUUUGGUUUGGUUAUGAUGGCUGUCUGGGCUUGGGUUUUUUGUGUAUGGGAUUCUUGAAAGGGCAUUAACCGCUGCAUUGCCUUUUCCACUUCUAUACUCCACUGAAAAAUCAUAUCCCAACAACUUCGAGAUCCAUUUCUAUUGUGAAGGGGUGCUCUCUCUUUGUUCCAGCAAGUAUUUGAGUGCCUACUAGUCAGUGCGUACUUUGAAGGACUAUCCAGUAGGUAGUGCCUCCAUUUCCUCACUGCCAUCACCACUACCAAUAGCUCCUUCUCAUAAGUUGAGAGAUCUAAAUUUCUUCCCUUUAAAGCCUAGCUGAAAUAUGCAAUUGGCUAACCUUCCUGCAUUAAUACCACUCCCAAAGCUCCUCCUGAAGCAUCACAUUCCACAACAAAAACUUUAGAAAAGUUAGGUAAUUUUAACACUGGAGGUUUUACCAUAGCUUCUUUGAGUCUUCCAAAUGCUUCUUAUGCUUUCUCAUUCCAAGAAAAAGAAUUCUUCUUUAGAAGAGCUAUCAGUGGAGAUGCUAUGGCUCCAUACCCUUAAACAAACUUCUUGUAGUAGCAGGUAAGUCCUAAAAAACCUCUUAGUGCUUUAAGGUUCUUAGGAGUUGGCCACUCUUGCAUUGCAACCAGCUUCUAAGGAUCCGCUUUAAAUCCUUCCCUUGAGAUAAUAUGCCCUAAGUAUUCCACCUCCUAGCUGCCAAAGACACACUUGGACAGCUUGGCAUAAAACUGUUCAGCUUGUAGUAACUCUAAGAUUUUGGUCAAAUGUUGUACAGGCUCUUGCAUGGACUUAUUGUAAAUUAAAAUGUCAUCGAAAAAUACCAACACAAACUUCCACAAAUAAGGCCUAAGCACUUCAUUCAUCACCUCUUGAAAAGUAGAGGGUGCAUUAGUAAGUCCAAACGGCAUUACAAGGAAUUCAUAAUGACCCUCAUGUGUACGAAAGGCAGUCUUAGGGAUAUCAUCAAGAUUCAUCUUUAUUUGAUGAUAUCCCGAUGUUAAAUCCAAUUUAGAAAAUAUUUCAGCCCCUCCUAAUUCAUCAAGCAACUCAUCAAUGUUAGGGAUGGGAUUCUUAUCUUUAAUGGUAUUCUUAUUGAGUGCACGGUAAUCCACACACAUCCUCCAGCUUCCAUCAGCCUUCCUUAUUAGCAACACAAGAGAAGAAUAUGGACUUUGACUACUUCUAAUACUCCAUUUCUUCGACAACUCAGCUGCAAUCUUUCUAUCUCUUCCUUUUGAUAAUAGGGAUACAUGUAAGGCCUAACAUAAACAGGUUUAGUAUCUUCCAAUAUCUUGAUUUUAUGAUCAAGAUUUCUUGGAGGUGGCAGUCCAUUUGGCUCGGCAAAGACCCCUCCAAACUUGUCCAGAACCUAUUGCACCUCUAUUGAACAUCUUGCAUUAUUAUUACCACUGUUUCCAUCCAUGAAUUGCAACCAAGUGCCCUUAAUAGCACCCUCUUUAAUUUUUGCACUGGCAUCUUCUUCCACAAUUCUAUUUGCUGGUCUUUUAAUACCCUGCAGUUGCACAACUUGAUCUCCACACUGAAACUUCAUAGUUAAGUUAGAAAAGUUCCACAAAAUUGGUCCUAAUCCACCCCCAAAACUACAUCACAUCCUCCAAGUGUCAACACAUAAAUUAGCUUUAAAUUGAUGAUCCUGUAACUUAAAAGAGAUUGCCUUACAGUGACCAAGGCAAGGAAUAGUGGUACCAUUUGCCACUUGAUCUGUUAAAUGGCUUGCUUCCCUUGACAGGUUGGCUUUCCUUGCUAUUUAUGGAUCUAUAAAACUAUGAGUGCUUUCUGUAUCAAUCAAGAUUAAAACUUUUUGGUGAUUAAUUUCAGCAAACAAUCUCAUAGUUUUAGGCGCUAAAGAUCCGGCUAUAGUGUGUAAAGAUAUCUUUAAUAAUUCUCCCACUUCCUCUUCAUUAGUCUCAAUAACAGCAAGAGUCCCUUCCUCAUUUUCCGCUUCAUCAUCAUCUUCACCCUCUCCUACCAUACCUUCCAAUAAAUAAAUUUUGGGUUUGCUACACUUAUGUCCUGUGUGAUAUUUUUCAUCGCAAAACCAACAUAAAUCUCUCUUUUUUCUUUCUUGCAUUUGAGUGGGAGUAACUCUUCUUAUGGGAAAGCUAUUUUUUCUGGGAUUAUUAAGGGGUUGAAGUCUCGGGUUGGCUUUAAUUGCUGGAGCUGGUAGUCUCAAUAAAGGGGCUAGGUUGGUGGGUUGAUAGUUAGAAGUCUGGUUGAGUUCCCCCUAGUAUGCCUAGUAACCUCCUCCUCCUGUAAUCUAGCGAAUCCAAAAGCUGCAGACAAUGCUAAGGAUUUGAACAUGGACACAGUGAUUCUAAGAUCGUCUCUCAGUCCACUAAGAAAGGUACUAAUUCUAAACUCCUCGGAUAAGCCAUUUUUUUAUUAGAUAGCAUUUCAAAUUGUGUUUGAUAUGCCUCUACUGUGCCAGUUUGUCUAAGCUUAGUAAACUCCCCCACCGAGUCCUCUUAAGCUGAAGGACCGAAUCUCACCUCUAGGGCUAAAAUAAAAUCAUCCCAAGAAUUUACUGGGCUUGACUCCUUUAACCAACUAUACCAUGAAAGGGCCUUGCACUCCAUGUGAAAAAAGGCUAUUUGUAACCUUUGAUCAUCAAGGAUCUUAUAAUAUUCAAAAAACUGUUGUGCCUUUGGAACCCAUUCAUCAGGAUUCGUGCCAUCAAACUUAGGAAAAUCCAACCUAAGUGAUCUAGCCUGAAUUCCCCCAUUACCCUCAAACAAUGGAUUAUUUCUAACCUUAGAAUUUGAGGAUCCUUCUCCCUAAUUUUGAUUUGCUGUCAAGUGUUCAUAACUAGAAGCUAAAUUGCUUAUCUGUUGGAGUACAGCUGCUAACAUCUCCUUUUGUCUUGUUUGUUCUUCCCGCAGGCUGCUAUUCUCCCCUUUUAGUGCUGCAGUUGCUUCGGACAGUUGGGCUUGUCUCGUGCCUUCCACCAUAGUCACAAGAACGUGGCUUUGAGACCACUGUUAUGAUCUAGGAAAUUAGUGAACAAAAUUGUAAACUCAGUUUCUGACAAUUCAAGGUUGCCAAGGCCUCCUUUAGUGAAUUUGUAAAAUAAUUCGUCUGAUGCUUCGUUCAUUCUCCAUGAAAACAUUUAUACAGACUCAAGAUAAUAACUGCAACGGAAAUACAGGCCCACUAACAAACACAACAACUCACUAACCCAUGACUUGCUAACCGAUGACCCACUACCAGGCAACCCACAAAAUUAACACACACCCAAACAUAAUAAUUGAAUUCAAACAACACAGUUUUACAACUAAAAUAACUUAAAGACCAACGCAACGAGUUUCUUGGGUAAGAACCCUAAAUCAUAACAAGCUGCACCAUGUGUAGCCUCUUGGUAACUCCACCAUCGCACGGUUUUGGGUCUCUCUCCAUCUCUUACCCUCAAAUUUAUCUCUCUCUCUCUCUCUCUCCCCACAAGCUCUGCCCAUGUGCUCCAUCGAGCGCAACACUCUCAGCCAAUUUCCACUGCAUCUCUCUACUCCAUGGCCAGCUUCAACUUUGACUAAAUGCUUAGCCACAUGGAGCCUCUGGUUCUGGUUCUUCCCUGGAUUAUUUGAAUGUUUCAACUGAGAACCAAGAUUAGAGAGCAUGGGCGAGAUUAUUUAAGUAUAACAGAUUAAGCAUUAAGGAAUGUCAUUGUUAUUAGAGAAUAUUUUUUUUCAGUAAAGUUAUUGUGGCCUAUGACAUGAUAUGUUGAGAGGUUAAAUUUUUUUAUUAGGACUUCAUGAUAUGUUUAGUUAAUUAUUUUAGAAAAAUUUAUUUAAAUCA